CUCAUUAAAAAAUAACCCGCAACUAUAAAGAAAUAGGUAAAGGGGGUGCCAAACAAAAAAAAAAAAAAAAAAAAAAAAAACUGCAAAUAAACCCCUCAUUCCUUGAUACUGGCCCCCACAUUCGUUGGAAAAAAAAAACAAACAUUGUCGCGUGACCAAGACCACGAGCUGAGACCAAAAACACCCUUUCACGAGGUGGGAGCGGUGUGAAGCUCGUGGUGGCUUGUGGUCGAGUACCACGAGUCCACUACGGAUGGUGUGAAGAAACAAGUAAUAAAUUGGCUUGGUGGUAAAUGCAUUGCUUUUCCACCUCGGUAGCCAGAUUCAAUCCUUGGUUAAACACGAAGAUUGGACGUGUUUUGGGG